rnacentral:rRNA from 1 species
CCUACGGGCGGCUGCAGUGGGGAAUAUUGGGCAAUGGACGAAAGUCUGACCCAGCGACGCCGCGUGAGGGAUGAAGCUUCUCGGAGCGUAAACCUCAAACGGAUGGGGACGAAAAGCUUAUCGGCUAAUAUCCGGUAGGCCUGACGGUACCUGUUACGAAGCUCCGGCUAACUCCGUGCCAGCAGCCGCGGUAAUACGGGGGGAGCUAGCGUUGUUCGGAAUUACUGGGCGUAAAGGGCGUCUAGGCGGGUCGGUCAGUCAGAAGUGAAAACUCCCGGCUUAACUGGGAGCCUGCUUUUGAAACUGCCGAUCUUGAGUGUGGAAGAGGUGCGGAGAAUUCUCAGUGUAGCGGUGAAAUGCGUAGAUAUUGGGAAGAAUGCCGGUGGCGAAGGCGCCGCACUGGUCUAACACUGACGCUGAGGCGCGAAAGCGUGGGUAGCAAACAGGCUUAGAUACCCCAGUAGUC